rnacentral:rRNA from 1 species
UUAAGCGACUAAGCGUACACGGUGGAUGCCCUGGCAGUCAGAGGCGAUGAAGGACGUGCUAAUCUGCGAUAAGCGUCGGUAAGGUGAUAUGAACCGUUAUAACCGGCGAUUUCCGAAUGGGGAAACCCAGUGUGUUUCGACACACUAUCAUUAACUGAAUCCAUAGGUUAAUGAGGCGAACCGGGGGAACUGAAACAUCUAAGUACCCCGAGGAAAAGAAAUCAACCGAGAUUCCCCCAGUAGCGGCGAGCGAACGGGGAGCAGCCCAGAGCCUGAAUCAGUGUGUGUGUUAGUGGAAGCGUCUGGAAAGGCGCGCGAUACAGGGUGACAGCCCCGUACACAAAAAUGCACAUGCUGUGAGCUCGAUGAGUAGGGCGGGACACGUGGUAUCCUGUCUGAAUAUGGGGGGACCAUCCUCCAAGGCUAAAUACUCCUGACUGACCGAUAGUGAACCAGUACCGUGAGGGAAAGGCGAAAAGAACCCCGGCGAGGGGAGUGAAAAAGAACCUGAAACCGUGUACGUACAAGCAGUGGGAGCACGCUUAGGCGUGUGACUGCGUACCUUUUGUAUAAUGGGUCAGCGACUUAUAUUCUGUAGCAAGGUUAACCGAAUAGGGGAGCCGAAGGGAAACCGAGUCUUAACUGGGCGUUAAGUUGCAGGGUAUAGACCCGAAACCCGGUGAUCUAGCCAUGGGCAGGUUGAAGGUUGGGUAACACUAACUGGAGGACCGAACCGACUAAUGUUGAAAAAUUAGCGGAUGACUUGUGGCUGGGGGUGAAAGGCCAAUCAAACCGGGAGAUAGCUGGUUCUCCCCGAAAGCUAUUUAGGUAGCGCCUCGUGAAUUCAUCUCCGGGGGUAGAGCACUGUUUCGGCAAGGGGGUCAUCCCGACUUACCAACCCGAUGCAAACUGCGAAUACCGGAGAAUGUUAUCACGGGAGACACACGGCGGGUGCUAACGUCCGUCGUGAAGAGGGAAACAACCCAGACCGCCAGCUAAGGUCCCAAAGUCAUGGUUAAGUGGGAAACGAUGUGGGAAGGCCCAGACAGCCAGGAUGUUGGCUUAGAAGCAGCCAUCAUUUAAAGAAAGCGUAAUAGCUCACUGGUCGAGUCGGCCUGCGCGGAAGAUGUAACGGGGCUAAACCAUGCACCGAAGCUGCGGCAGCGACACUAUGUGUUGUUGGGUAGGGGAGCGUUCUGUAAGCCUGUGAAGGUGUGCUGUGAGGCAUGCUGGAGGUAUCAGAAGUGCGAAUGCUGACAUAAGUAACGAUAAAGCGGGUGAAAAGCCCGCUCGCCGGAAGACCAAGGGUUCCUGUCCAACGUUAAUCGGGGCAGGGUGAGUCGACCCCUAAGGCGAGGCCGAAAGGCGUAGUCGAUGGGAAACAGGUUAAUAUUCCUGUACUUGGUGUUACUGCGAAGGGGGGACGGAGAAGGCUAUGUUGGCCGGGCGACGGUUGUCCCGGUUUAAGCGUGUAGGCUGGUUUUCCAGGCAAAUCCGGAAAAUCAAGGCUGAGGCGUGAUGACGAGGCACUACGGUGCUGAAGCAACAAAUGCCCUGCUUCCAGGAAAAGCCUCUAAGCAUCAGGUAACAUCAAAUCGUACCCCAAACCGACACAGGUGGUCAGGUAGAGAAUACCAAGGCGCUUGAGAGAACUCGGGUGAAGGAACUAGGCAAAAUGGUGCCGUAACUUCGGGAGAAGGCACGCUGAUAUGUAGGUGAAGCGACUUGCUCGUGGAGCUGAAAUCAGUCGAAGAUACCAGCUGGCUGCAACUGUUUAUUAAAAACACAGCACUGUGCAAACACGAAAGUGGACGUAUACGGUGUGACGCCUGCCCGGUGCCGGAAGGUUAAUUGAUGGGGUCAGCGCAAGCGAAGCUCUUGAUCGAAGCCCCGGUAAACGGCGGCCGUAACUAUAACGGUCCUAAGGUAGCGAAAUUCCUUGUCGGGUAAGUUCCGACC